UCUCUCCUUCUCCAGCGUCCAGCAGGGCAUGGCAGCUGCACUGUGUUCAGGCCUUCUGGAUGACCUUCUGAAAAACAGCACCUGUCUUCCUCGCCAGGAUCUGCUGCUGGGCACUGGUUAUUUACUUAAGAAAGGAUCUGUGAACUGGCAGAAGUACGAUGGAGGCCACCUACUUUAAGUUGGUUGUUUGCACUCCUGUAUGUCCCCUCCAUCCUGCUGUUAAAGCCAGUCUGACCCCCUCCAGCACGUCAUCUCGCCUGAGAGCUGAAGUUAAGGGAAUGUAACGUCACCAAACGGAUGUGGCCUCAGCAAGUAACUUCAUAGCUGUGAGCUUUGGUUUGCUUUUUAGUGACAUGGAAAGGCCUGUAUGGUGAAAGUUUUCACUCAUUGCUUUGCCUAAGUCUUCUCAUUUUCACUUACUUCUUCCCAGUUUAUCCAGCUUUUCACAUAAAAGGAAAAUAAUAAAGCCAAAAUCCAAAACAUACAUAUUUUUCAGGGACACACCCUCAUGUACCAAUUGUGCAUAUAUCACUUCUUCCUGCUUAAAAAUGGAGAUUUCUUUUGAAGGGUUAUGUUUGAUUUUGAGCCAGAGUUUUCAGUAUGAAGAAGCUCUUUUUGGGCUUUUAGGACUUCAGGUAAUGCACAAAUUCUCAGGUGUCUCUCGCAGUCAGUGUUCUGCUGUAAAUCAGUGCAAGUCUCGGAUCUAGUUCAUGUCUGACCUUGUUUGGGCUCUGCAUAGUUUAGAACUUAGUCAUUUGCGUGGAGGAGAGAAAUGAAUCAUAUUGUUUAUUGUCAUAAUUAACAUGUGUUAUUAAAUUUGCAAAUGGCCACUAAUUGCCCAUGUACAGGGUCUAAGUAUGAAAACUGAAGAUUUCAAGGAGAAACCAGGAUGGAGUCAGUAAAGGCCUGAGAAGCUCUGCACAGAGUACAUGGUGGACGGCUGUGUUGAUUCAUGGAAUGAAGCACUGGGUGAAGUGAUAUUGAAUAUAGCUCACUCUCGAUGGCGUGAAAUUUUGUAGGCUAAUCUGGGGAUUAAUCAUAAAAAUGACUGAAGUCAGGCAUAAGGAGCCUAAACACUGUAAUUAGGAACUCAGUCCCAAGUAAAACUUUAAAGAGGCCAAGAAAAAGAGAAACGGAAAGUGAGGAGACACGAGUUUUGGAUGUGAGGAAUAAUCCUAGUCUAUCACGUGUGCUGUGCAUCCCUGGUACUGCAGAAGGUAUUUUAUGGCAGGAAAGAUCCUAAGAGUUAAUGCUGAAUUCCUAUGUGACAGAAGAGAAACAAUGGAGAUAAUUCAGAGCCUUGUCAUCAAGCUAACAAGGAGCUUCCAGAAAAUGCCGUGUGUGCACAUCUCCUGCAGCGGCUCCUCACUUUUCCCACGUCACUGACAUUUUGGGAGGAUCCGAUAAAGCUUAUGAAGCCUCUGCCCAAACAAGUGGCAUGUAUACCAUGGGGGCUCAUGGGCCACUUGGAGCUCAACUACGAAUCCACGAGUGGUUUAUGGCCCUCAGUAGAAGGGGCUGUCUGCAAGUGUUCCCUUGGAGAAAUUUGCAGAGUCACAUUGCUUGGUGGAAUGCUAGCCCAAGAAUUAUUUUGUUUGUGUCGUGAAAAAUGACGCCCUGGCUUCGAGAAUCAGGCUUUUGUCAUGAAUAGCAGCUUCAUGCUCGUGAAGACUGAAAUGGAUUGAUUGGUUUGAGUACUUAUUAAAAUGCCUUAAGAAUAAAUGUUUUUUUCUUCUUAAAGAACAUCUAUGAUAAAAUAUUUAUAAAUAUUUAAAUA
rnacentral:lncRNA from 1 species